rnacentral:tRNA from 1 species
GCCUGGGUGGCUCAGUCGGUGAAGCGUCCGACUUCGGCUCAGGUUGUGAUCUCGCGGUCCGUGGGUUCGAGCCCCACGUCGGGCU